CAGUGCCACGGUAAUACGAAGGGGGCUAGCGUUGUUCGGAUUUACUGGGCGUAAAGGGCGCGUAGGCGGACUGAUAAGUCAGGGGUGAAAUCCCAAGGCUCAACCUUGGAACUGCCUUUGAUACUGUUUGUCUUGAGUUCGAGAGAGGUAAGUGGAACUGCGAGUGUAGAGGUGAAAUUCGUAGAUAUUCGCAAGAACACCAGUGGCGAAGGCGGCUUACUGGCUCGAAACUGACGCUGAGGCGCGAAAGCGUGGGGAGCAAACAGGAUUAGAUACCCCCGUAGUCCCUGUCUCUUAUACA
rnacentral:rRNA from 1 species